rnacentral:rRNA from 1 species
CCUACGGGUGGCAGCAGUGGGGAAUAUUGGACAAUGGGCGAAAGCCUGAUCCAGCCAUGCCGCGUGUGUGAAGAAGGCCUUCGGGUUGUAAAGCACUUUCAGUGGGGAAGAAAGCCUUGGGGCUAAUACCCUCGAGGAAGGACAUCACCCACAGAAGAAGCACCGGCUAACUCCGUGCCAGCAGCCGCGGUAAUACGGAGGGUGCGAGCGUUAAUGGGAAUUACUGGGCGUAAAACGCGCGUAGGCGGUCUGAUAAGCCGGUUGUGAAAGCCCCGGGCUCAACCUGGGAACGGCAUCCGGAACUGUCAGGCUAGAGUGCAGGAGAGGAAGGUAGAAUUCCCGGUGUAGCGGUGAAAUGCGUAGAGAUCGGGAGGAAUACCAGUGGCGAAGGCGGCCUUCUGGACUGACACUGACGCUGAGGUGCGAAAGCGUGGGUAGCAAACAGGAUUAGAUACCCCAGUAGUC